CCUACGGGAUGCACCAGUGGGGAAUCUUGCACAAUGGAGGAAACUCUGAUGCAGCGAUGCCGCGUGAGUGAAGAAGGCCUUUGGGUUGUAAAGCUCUUUUGUAGGGGAAGAUAAUGACUGUACCCUAAGAAUAAGGUCCGGCUAACUUCGUGCCAGCAGCCGCGGUAAUACGAAGGGACCUAGCGUAGUUCGGAAUUACUGGGCGUAAAGCGUGCGUAGGCCGUUGAGUUAGUUAAUUGUGAAAUCCCAAAGCUUAACUUUGGAACUGCAAUUAAAACUGCUCGACUAGAGUUUGUUAGAGGAAAGCGGAAUACAUAGUGUAGAGGUGAAAUUCGUAGAUAUUAUGUAGAACACCAGUUGCGAAGGCGGCUUUCUGGAUCAACACUGACGCUGAGGCGCGGAAGCAUGGGUAGCAAAGAGGAUUAGAUACCCGUGUAGUC
rnacentral:rRNA from 1 species